UACGUAGGUGACAAGCGUUGUCCGGAUUUACUGGGCGUAAAGAGCGCGCAGGCGGUCGUUCAAGUCGAGUGUGAAAGCCCCCCGGCUCAACUGGGGAGGGUCAUUCGAUACUGAUCGACUCGAAGGCAGGAGAGGGAAGUGGAAUUCCCGGUGUAGUGGUGAAAUGCGUAGAUAUUGGGUGGAACACCGGUGGCGAAAAGCGGCUCUCUGGUCCGGACCUGACGCUGAGGCGCGAAAGCGUGGGGAGCAAACAGG
rnacentral:rRNA from 1 species